GAGUUUGAUCAUGGCUCAGGACGAACGCUGGCGGCGUGCCUAAUACAUGCAAGUAGAACGCUGAAGAGAGGAGCUUGCUCUUCUUGGAUGAGUUGCGAACGGGUGAGUAACGCGUAGGUAACCUGCCUUGUAGCGGGGGAUAACUAUUGGAAACGAUAGCUAAUACCGCAUAACAAUAGGUGACACAUGUCAUUUAUUUGAAAGGGGCAAUUGCUCCACUACAAGAUGGACCUGCGUUGUAUUAGCUAGUAGGUGAGGUAACGGCUCACCUAGGCGACGAUACAUAGCCGACCUGAGAGGGUGAUCGGCCACACUGGGACUGAGACACGGCCCAGACUCCUACGGGAGGCAGCAGUAGGGAAUCUUCGGCAAUGGGGGCAACCCUGACCGAGCAACGCCGCGUGAGUGAAGAAGGUUUUCGGAUCGUAAAGCUCUGUUGUAAGUCAAGAACGAGUGUGAGAGUGGAAAGUUCACACUGUGACGGUAGCUUACCAGAAAGGGACGGCUAACUACGUGCCAGCAGCCGCGGUAAUACGUAGGUCCCGAGCGUUGUCCGGAUUUAUUGGGCGUAAAGCGAGCGCAGGCGGUUUGAUAAGUCUGAAGUUAAAGGCUGUGGCUCAACCAUAGUUCGCUUUGGAAACUGUCAAACUUGAGUGCAGAAGGGGAGAGUGGAAUUCCAUGUGUAGCGGUGAAAUGCGUAGAUAUAUGGAGGAACACCGGUGGCGAAAGCGGCUCUCUGGUCUGUAACUGACGCUGAGGCUCGAAAGCGUGGGGAGCGAACAGGAUUAGAUACCCUGGUAGUCCACGCCGUAAACGAUGAGUGCUAGGUGUUGGAUCCUUUCCGGGAUUCAGUGCCGCAGCUAACGCAUUAAGCACUCCGCCUGGGGAGUACGACCGCAAGGUUGAAACUCAAAGGAAUUGACGGGGGCCCGCACAAGCGGUGGAGCAUGUGGUUUAAUUCGAAGCAACGCGAAGAACCUUACCAGGUCUUGACAUCCCGAUGCUAUUUCUAGAGAUAGAAAAUUACUUCGGUACAUCGGUGACAGGUGGUGCAUGGUUGUCGUCAGCUCGUGUCGUGAGAUGUUGGGUUAAGUCCCGCAACGAGCGCAACCCCUAUUGUUAGUUGCCAUCAUUCAGUUGGGCACUCUAGCGAGACUGCCGGUAAUAAACCGGAGGAAGGUGGGGAUGACGUCAAAUCAUCAUGCCCCUUAUGACCUGGGCUACACACGUGCUACAAUGGUUGGUACAACGAGUUGCGAGUCGGUGACGGCAAGCUAAUCUCUUAAAGCCAAUCUCAGUUCGGAUUGUAGGCUGCAACUCGCCUACAUGAAGUCGGAAUCGCUAGUAAUCGCGGAUCAGCACGCCGCGGUGAAUACGUUCCCGGGCCUUGCACACACCGCCCGUC
rnacentral:rRNA from 1 species